rnacentral:lncRNA from 1 species
AUUUUCUGUAUUUUUUAUGAUUUUCUGGAAAAAAAAAAGGAAUAAAAUACACACGGAAUGCCAAGUGGCGGAGCUAGAGUGGGAAGCUGCAGACCUCAACGACACGCGGUGCAUUCCUAUGCCGCCACACGCCCCUUUUCCAUUUUAAUUUUUGUCUUACUCAUAUUUUCAUUUGAUAAACGCCUUUAAGGCUAUGGUUUAGGGUAAAAAAAUUAUUAAAAAUUCCCCACAGCAAUGCUUUUUAUUUUCCCGCUCAUGUAUUAGGGUAAAAAAUAUAAAACAAUAUUCAAUUUUGG